AGGACUAUAGUUUAAUGGUAAAACACGGUCUUGAUAAGACCGCUAGUGGAGGUUCGAUUCCUUCUAGUCCUA
rnacentral:tRNA from 2 species